GACGAACGCUGGCGGCGUGCCUAAUACAUGCAAGUUGAGCGCUGAAGGUUGGUACUUGUACCAACUGGAUGAGCAGCGAACGGGUGAGUAACGCGUGGGGAAUCUGCCUUUGAGCGGGGGACAACAUUUGGAAACGAAUGCUAAUACCGCAUAAAAACUUUAAACACAAGUUUUAAGUUUGAAAGAUGCAAUUGCAUCCCUCAAAGAUGAUCCCGCGUUGUAUUAGCUAGUUGGUGAGGUAAAGGCUCACCAAGGCGAUGAUACAUAGCCGACCUGAGAGGGUGAUCGGCCACAUUGGGACUGAGACACGGCCCAAACUCCUACGGGAGGCAGCAGUAGGGAAUCUUCGGCAAUGGACGAAAGUCUGACCGAGCAACGCCGCGUGAGUGAAGAAGGUUUUCGGAUCGUAAAACUCUGUUGGUAGAGAAGAACGUUGGUGAGAGUGGAAAGCUCAUCAAGUGACGGUAACUACCCAGAAAGGGACGGCUAACUACGUG
rnacentral:rRNA from 1 species